GUGAUUUUGAAGAUACGCAGUGUGUGUAGGGAAAGAGGGAAAGGGAAUUACAUGCAGAAGUGUAAAGCCGGAAGUCGAACCGCUGACUGACGGCUCCGGAUGUGUCCAGCAUUUUUCAAACCGGGUACGUUCAGCUGAACGUGAUCACGUGGGCAACAUUAAACGCGCGCAAACACAGGUCCUAAUGGGAAGUCUUGCUAUUUGCACAACGUCUGCAUCCAGCCGAAGUCUUGCUAUCUAUACAGCUUCUGCACCCAGCCGAGAAACACCGUGACGAGAAGAACUGCCUGCAAAUCUUGCACCAGCACUGCUAAGAAAGUGGAGUUGAACCAAGAUUGAGGAGGUGGUUGCUGAUGCUCCUGACGGUUUAGAAAAGGAGUUGGCAGAGGAGGUCAUGAAGAUUUACAUGCUGUGGAACCAGGGACAAUCAGAUGAUGCACCUACUGAUGUAGGGAUUGUAAUUGAGGGCGUCAUUGUCCUCCGCAGUCUUGGGGAUCUUAGCAGAGCCUGCUGCUAUCUGUUGGGACUAACCUAUGACUUGGAUCUGAGAUACCCCCGGAAUCUCAGAUACAUUUUUGAGGUAUUCCAAAAAGUGCUACUGGAGCUGGAUCCUGGAAACCUUUCAACCAAGGUUCAAAGACUGAAAAAUUACCUGUGUACUUAGUUGUCAACUACUGUUCAGUGAGAUGCUCUCACUAAUCUGGAUUUUGUCCAAUUUCAAGGUGUGCAUGUCUUAAAAUUUUUGUGAAAUAUUGUCUUAAUCCCAAAGUAACGUGUAACAAAGUAUAGUGAGGGCAAACAGUAAAAACUCAUUCCAUCUUAUAGGCUGUCUUGCUUAUUGUAAGCGUCAACAUUUUUCAAAUUGUCAGUUGUUUCCUGAUGGACAGGAGAAACCAGGUGCCAGUUUUUGUUAUCGGUCUCUUGAUUUUGUUUUAUGAUCUUACAUUUGCCAUUUUGUUUAAUAACUUCUUGAUUUGAGAAAGGGUGGGAAGGACAGGACAUUGAUUGCUCAGUACUUGGCAACAAGAUGUUUUUCACUCAAAGUGAUUCGUUCCAAAAUUUGCAUCAGAAUGUAGAAAUGUACUCUGGCGUUUUAACAUAAUGGUGUAGGCCUGCCCAGUUACUGUCAAGGGGCUGAUUAGCAAUAAAGCUAGUUAUUGCUGAUGUUAGGUGUCACUGUUCUUAGUGUAUUUCAGCCAUGUGCAGAGCUCAGUUCAGCCUGUUGCUCUUGAACCAGAAGCAUUUUUUUACCUGCACUUUGCUGACAGUAAAUGAGUGUUUUAUCCAUGUUGUAGAUGCUGCUGGCUAAUAUUAGCUUUCAGUGCACUGUUUUCAUACUGUGGACAUUGUUAUAUAUGUGAUUUGUAAAGUAAACCAGGUUGA